rnacentral:misc_RNA from 1 species
ACAUGCGCAAUCUCAGAUUGCAUUACUUGCAGGCCUUCAAAUCUCAUAUAACUAGAUAACCAUUGGCGUGCCCUUAAAUGCAGAAAAAGCAUUUCUCAUUGAACAAAACAGAGUAGUAAGAGAACAAUUUUACGACUAAAAACUCAAAAGAAACUGCAGCAACAAAACAGUACUAAGAGAACUCCAACCACUUAGUUAUCAUUAUACAGUGCCAAUGACCGAGUAAAGUUCCAAACAUUCCAGUUUCCAGGCAAAACAAGAGCAUUCUACUAAUGUUAACAGAUAGCUUGUUCAAAGAAUGGAAGCCAAAGCAAUAAGCAGAUGACGAAAAUUUUGCAGAUAACAGCCGGGCACAGUUUAAUUUCAAAUCUCAGCAGCCAAACCACUAGUAAAUCCAUAUUCCGGACAAAAUUGAGAGGAUCACUAUAAUCACCAACCAAUUAUCUAAAGUCCAAAUUAAGUUAUUUUCAGAGGCCAUAGGCACCAGAACUAGCUUGAUUGUCCCACGACAUAUACUCACUCAAUAACAGAUCCUUACCUAUCAAGAUCACUAAACAACCAUGUGGUUUCUCAUCCCGUGGUUUUUGACCCACCAAGGGUUUGCUUAGCCACGUAUAUUUGUUUCACCUUAGUAGAUGGAACCGCACCCAAGGACUGAUUUCUGCCAUGGAAACCCAUUCUGCGAUGGGACCAAUCAUUUCCAGCCAUAUUUCUCUGAGACAUUCCACCACCCCUGUGAUAGUUGUAGCCUGCAGAGGUAUUCUUCUGCUGGGUCUGCGUUCUGAAACCACUGACACUUUGAUCUUUACCACUGUUGCUGACACCAUUUCUGAGAGCAUCAAUGUUGCCUGUUUCUGCAUUAGCACAUCCAGAGGAGCUUUGACUGGCCAAACUCUGAGCAGAACCACCAGUAACCCCUGGCUUGGAGGAAUCUCCAAGACCAAUUUCAACAGGAAACUGAGCUGCAUUGGCAACUGUCGCAAUAUUAAAACUGGGGGUACCAUCAGAGUCUUCUGGAGGAUGAGAUUCCAAGAACCUAUUGGUACUCAAUGACUUAUCAACAGAAUGACCGUGACCAAAUUUAGGAGGCAAUGCACCUUCAGCUUGCUGCUGCAAGGGGUGAGAAAUGGGAACAGAAUGAAGAGGUGAUGCAGGGACAUGAGACCAGCGAGCUUGGACUGGCAUUUCAGGUGAA